CUAUCCCAAGGUUCAUUGCGAUCCCAAGGUUCACUGCGGUUUUCCACAAGCCUGUUUCUGCCUAUCACCAUGAGUGAUUCCUCAAUACUCAGAUUUAUCAUCAAGAUCUCAAUUAUAAGCUCAAGUUUUGAUGACAACUUGGUGAUCUGCAGAAAGCACCACCAUGUAAGGAAGGCCAAGACCACUCUGGAAUCAGUCAAGGCUCAUAGGAACUCCAAUCUUCCCAACUGUGAGAGGGCCUUGCUCCAGUGACUGUGAAAUGGAGUGAGGCAUACCAGGAUAUGCCUGGUUUUACUUUUGGGAAGGAGGUUGAACAGUGCAAUAUUUCUUCUAUAGGAUUGGAGUGACCAGACAUGCUACUGUAACUCUCAUGGUCAUGUGCUGGAAUUAGCAGAUAUUCAACAAUUUGGCCAUCUCUCUGACCUAUUGAUAUCAGAAGACCGCAACAGCUCUGCAAAGCAAGUUGCAAAACAGAAUCCAUGAAACUGGCAGUGACUGGAAACCAAUUGGAAGACUUUGGUCUGUGAUGUAGAGGAGUGGGCAGAGGUAGCAGAAGCAAAGACAACAAAAAACAGAAGUGAUAUGGAUGUCUUCGUCAUAUUGCAUGACUUUGCUGACCCAGCAACAAAGAGGAGGGUGUUCAACAUCAUCCUGCUAGUCAGGAUUCUUCAGGAGAAGCAGUGGAUUCUUGUGGCAGAGAUGGUCAACCACUAUAAAUACCUUUCAACUCAUCCUGGUUCUUUCAAAGAACUUUCCUGCUUGUUUGCUUCUGAAAAGUACUGAUUCGACAUGUGGCCUUAACGAAGAGGGGUUAAAAGGUCUAUGGAUCAUCAUUCUCAAAAAGCAACAAAAUAACUGAGAAAUAAACAACAAUAAGAUGGUGCAAUCUAGAAACCUGCAAGGUACCUGCAAGUUUUGGCUGGAGCAGAGAACAUAGAUUUUUUUUAAAUAAAGCUCCAGCUGAUGAGUAUGACA